UUCAACCCCCGUGGAACCGGUUGUGUUUUCGCCCCCUGGAGACACACGUGUUCUUACGCGAAACCUUCAUUGACGAGACCGAGCUGUUUGGCGUUUACGAAAUUUUUUCGUAUAGGUCAGUAUCGGGAAAUACAGAAUUCAAAAUGCAGUAAGUUUUUCUCAUUUAUUCAAUUUAGCCACUAAAUGUAUUACUUCCCAAUGAAGCCAAAUAACUUUUAAUAUCCCGUUAGUAUUUAUUUUUACUAAAUUUUUUGUCUAGUUGUAGAAAUGAUAUUUGUAAAACA
rnacentral:misc_RNA from 1 species